GGAACCAGCCCGCUACCCCCCCCCCCCCCACCACAAUCCCACCCUCUGCCACCGCACAUUCUCCACCUUCUACUCCAGGGACUGGUACUUGAAGAAAAAGGACAAGGAUAUGCAGAAACCAACGAGACCCACAACCAAACCAAGAAAGGCCCCUGAGGGAGCUGACCCCGGCUAUGGCGCAGGUGCCUACUAGUGCCACUCCAGUGCCACCUUGAGGACCCAUAUUUCUGACCAAUUAUAUUAGGCGAUCUGCAUGGAACUUGCACACCUUACUGAACCCAUGCCUAUCUACAAGGGUGCAAAUUUUGAAUGAUAUCGGUCAACAUCAACCUCAGCUAAAGGUGGCUGAACUUUAACCUCCGUUUGUGCAGGCUGCGAUGCUGAAACUUGGCCCAGUUGCAGCACCU